rnacentral:rRNA from 1 species
CGCGGGGGUUAACUCGCUAUCUGAAUCCCAUGUUUCUAUAAACUUUAGAUGUCGUAAGGGAAAAUAAUGAUAAUACCUUACUAUUAAUGGCGUCCAGAUCUGGUGCCAGAAGACUCGGUAAGACCAGAGACGCAAACGUUAAUCAUCAUAAUCAGGCGUAAAGGGUUUGUAGGCAGCAUAAAUAAUUAUAUUAAAUAAUAAAAUAAAUUAAUAUAAUCAAUGCUAGAAUCAAAAAGAGGUUAUAGUGUAUAACGUCUAGAGGAGGGCUGAUAUCCAUAGAUCCUAGACAGAAUACUAAGGGCGAAGGCCACUUUCCAUUAAUGAUUGACGCUGAGAAACGAAGGUUAGGGUAGGAAAUAGGAUUAGAUACCCCGGUACUCCUUUCUGUAAACGAUGAAUGGUAGUCAUUAGUAAUAAACUAGAGACGAAGUUAACACAAUAACCAUUCCGCCUUGUGAGUACUACUGCAAAGUAGAAAACAAAAAAAUUAGUCGGUCUCGAAGCAAACGGAGUGAAGCAUGUUAUUUAAUUCUAUAAUCCGCGAA